AUUGAACGCUGGCGGCAUGCCUUACACAUGCAAGUCGAACGGCAGCACGGGGGCAACCCUGGUGGCGAGUGGCGAACGGGUGAGUACUGCAUCGGAACGUACCCAGUAGUGGGGAUAACCAGUCGAAAGAUUGGCUAAUACCGCAUAUUCACUGAGGUGGAAAGCGGGGAUCGCAAGACCUCGCGCUAUUGGAGCGGCCGAUGUCCGAUUAGGUAGUUGGUGGGGUAAAAGCCUACCAAGCCGACGAUCGGUAACUGGUCUGAGAGGACGACCAGUCACACUGGGACUGAGACACGGCCCAGACUCCUACGGGAGGCAGCAAU
rnacentral:rRNA from 1 species